rnacentral:misc_RNA from 1 species
GAUGAAGAACGCAGCGAAAUGCGAUAAGUAAUGUGAAUUGCAGAAUUCAGUGAAUCAUCGAAUAUUUGAACGCACAUUGCGCCCUCUGGUAUUCCGGGGGGCAUGCCUGUCCGAGCGUCAUUGCAAACCCUCAAGUCCGGCUUGCGUGAUGGGUCGCAUCGUCCCCGAAGGCCCUCCGGGGCGGGUGGGACGGGCCCGAAAGGCAGCGGCGGCGUCGCGGUCAUCCGAUCAGCCCAAGCGUAUGGGGACAUCCGUCACGCGCUAGGGGCGCGGACCGACGCCCGCCUGGAACGUCACACUUCUCAAGGUUUGACCUCGGAUCAGGUAGGGAUACCCGCUGAACUUAAGCAUAUCAAUAAGCGGAGGA